rnacentral:rRNA from 1 species
GAGCUUGCUCCCCGGGUGACGAGUGGCGGACGGGUGAGUAAUGUCUGGGGAUCUGCCCGAUGGAGGGGGAUAACUACUGGAAACGGUAGCUAAUACCGCAUAACCUCGAAAGAGCAAAGUGGGGGACCUUCGGGCCUCACACCAUCGGAUGAACCCAGAUGGGAUUAGCUAGUAGGUGGGGUAACGGCUCACCUAGGCGACGAUCCCUAGCUGGUCUGAGAGGAUGACCAGCCACACUGGAACUGAGACACGGUCCAGACUCCUACGGGAGGCAGCAGUGGGGAAUAUUGCACAAUGGGCGCAAGCCUGAUGCAGCCAUGCCGCGUGUAUGAAGAAGGCCUUCGGGUUGUAAAGUACUUUCAGCGGGGAGGAAGGGAUGAAGGUUAAUAACCUUCGUCAUUGACGUUACCCGCAGAAGAAGCACCGGCUAACUCCGUGCCAGCAGCCGCGGUAAUACGGAGGGUGCAAGCGUUAAUCGGAAUUACUGGGCGUAAAGCGCACGCAGGCGGUUUGUUAAGUCAGAUGUGAAAUCCCCGGGCUCAACCUGGGAACUGCUUUGAAACUGGCAAGCUUGA